ACACGACUACAUUAGAUACCCGCGUAGUCCUAGCCGUAAACGAUACUCGCUAGGUGUCGGCCACGGUGCGACCGUUGUCGGUGCCGUAGGGAAGCCGUGAAGCGUGCCACCUGGGAAGUACGGCCGCAAGGCUGAAACUUAAAGGAAUUGGCGGGGGAGCACAACAACGGGUGGAGCUUGCGGUUUAAUUGGAUUCAACGCCGGAAAUCUUACCGGGACCGACAGCAACAUGAAGGCCAAGCUGAAGACUUUGCCGGAUUAGCUG
rnacentral:rRNA from 1 species